AUGGCCGAGCACGCGGUUGCCGCCGUGCUGCAGAGGGCAGGCGCCACGGUGAUCCAAGAAGUCGCUUCUCUGGGCCAGGUUCCUGCCAAGGUGGAGGCCCUCAAGUCCGAGCUCAAGCGCAUGCAGUGCUUCCUCAGGGAUGCCGACGCGAGGAUGGAGAGGGGCGAGAAUGAGAUGCUCAGCCAACUGGUGUCGGAGGUCAGGGACGUCGCCUACAGCGUCGAGAUCAUCAUUGACACGGCCAACAUCUUGGCCAGGGACAACAGCAGACCGCCGUCCCUCCUCGGCGCCAUAUCCAAGGGCGCCUGUUACCCCGUCCACUGCAAGCGCCUGUACAGCAUUGGGAAAAGAAUCGAUCAGGUCACCGCAAGAGUUGGUGCGAUCUUUGGAGAAUUCACAAAGUACAGCAUUGCCAGCACUAGACUGAAUGAGACAAGAUACAGUAUGGAUGACACCGAGAGUCUGCGCGCAAGAAGACUGACGCACCCGGGUUUCGGGGAUGAGGUCGAUGUCAUUGGCUUUGACAGUGAAAUCAACCAGGUCAAGGAUGAACUGCUUGACUCGGAGAUCAAGGACCUCACCGUCAUCUCCCUUGUUGGUCCAGGAGGGGCAGGGAAAUCAACCAUUGCCAGGAAGGUCUAUAAUCUUGUCGCGAAAAAGCAUUUCAACUCCUGCGUAUGGAUAUGCAUCUCACAGCAAUUUACAGUCUAUGGUGCACUGAAGGAUAUAGUUAAAGGGGCCAUGGGGAGUCAAGACUUUGAAGAAUUAGGAACAAUGAGCGAGAUGGAAAUUAUAAAGAAGAUCCACAGUUUUCUCAAGGAUAAAAGGUACCUGGUGGUUUUAGAUGAUGUCUGGAGAAUGGAAGACUGGGAUAUGGUCCAAGCCGCCUUUCCUGAUGUGAAAAAUGGAAGCAGAAUUGUUUUGACAACUCGCAACUCGGCAGUUUCCAAUCACCCCAACGCAAGAAAAAUAAUCCAGGAGGUAAAGCUCCUUAGCAAUGACGAAAGUAUAGAGUUAUUUAACAGAAAGGCAUUCCCUUCGUAUGUCGUCCAUGGCAGAGAUGAUCUGGAUAGCUUCAGAGAACUUGGCAAGAUACUUGCAUUAAAAUGCAAUGGCUUGCCUCUUGCAAUUGUAGUCAUGGGAGGUUACCUUUCAAAGAAUCUCAGGAUCACCGAGUGGAGAAGAAUGGUUGCCAGUGUAAACUGGGACGCAAUGAAGAAUGAAGGUGACAUCAGAGCCAUACUGGACCUAAGUUACUAUGAUCUGUCAAGUAAUCUGAAGGCGUGCUUUUUGUACAUCACAUCGUUCCCAGAAGACUACGCAGUCCCGGUUGGCCUUCUUACAAAGUUGUGGAUUUCAGAGGGUUUCAUACCAAAUAUGCGUGGAUGCUCCCUUGAAGAAACUGCGCUUGGGUAUGUGGAAGAACUGGCCCAGCGCUGCUUAAUCCUAAUUGAAAAGAGGAGCUCCAGGUGCAUCAAAACCGUUAAGGUGCAUGACGUGUUGCGCGACUGGGGAAUCGGGCGAGCUCGAAGAGAAGGCUUCUUGAAAGACUGCAGUUCCAGAAAUGAAGUGGAGACAUCAUAUUCCAAUGAAAUGAGAGCUUACAGGGUGGUUCUCUACGACUCUGUUUGUGUGAAGGUCGGUGUCGCUAUGCCAAAUCUGCACACCUUGCUGAUCUUCAAUGCAGCUCGGCUAGAAAGGAACGUCUUCUCUUUCCGAGGCUUGAAUUACCUGCGGGUGCUCUACUUUGAUGGCAUGAGAGGGAGAUGGCAGCUACCCACAGAGAUCGGCUCAAUGGUACAUCUGAGGUACCUUGGCUUGAAAGGUGCCACAUAUGUACUUCCUGCUACCGUCAGUAAUCUCACAAACUUGCAUACUUUUGAUGCAAGAGAUGCCAUAGUGGAAGCACUCCCUAUGGAUCUCUUGAGCAUUUCGACACUGAAGCAUGUCCAUAUCUACAAGGUUGAGUCAUGGUCCGUGUGGAAGACCACCAUGCAGAGCAACCUGAAGUCUCUCUUCAUAUUCCUGGCAGCCAACACGCCGAAGCAAUGGGAAGGAGCAAUUGACAGAAUGGAUGAAAGCCCCUCCUGGUGCUUUGGGAAGCACUACCGGAGUGUCAAACAGCUGGAAAUUGUCGGGGCGUGUGAGGACGAGUUCGGAGUGCCCAACGACCUACAUCUUCCUGAUCUGCAUCUCCUCCCGCACAACCUCAGACGGCUGAAAAUUAGCUGUCCUAAUCUGCUGAAUGAUAAAGACCCCAUGCCGACACUUGGGAGCUGGCUGACGUUCCUGAAUGUGUUGGAAAUAGGGGUCAAGUCAUAUACCGGCGCGAUCAUGACCUGCCCUUCUGGUGGGUUUCCAGACCUGCACAAUUUGGUGCUCCACGAUCUGGAUAUUGAGGAGUGGAUACUGGAGGAUGGCGCCAUGCCGAAGCUCAGGAUACUAACUCUCUGCAAGUGCACCAAGCUGAAGGAACUUCCACAAGCAUUGCAGCACCUAAAGGAACUUAAAAAGCUGAAAGUGAUAGCGAUGCCCGAGUUGGAUCAAGUAUUAUGCUACCUGCUACACAAGGCAGGACGCGAGGUCAUCAUCAGGUCAAGUGAGGAGGACUUUGAGCAUGUACAGAUCCCCAAGUAUGACAUUUAA
rnacentral:rRNA from 1 species